rnacentral:rRNA from 1 species
UACGUAGGGUGCAAGCGUUGUCCGGAAUUAUUGGGCGUAAAGAGCUCGUAGGCGGUUCGUCGCGUCGGCUGUGAAAUCCCGAGGCUCAACCUCGGGUCUGCAGUCGAUACGGGCGGACUGGAGUUCGGCAGGGGAGACUGGAAUUCCUGGUGUAGCGGUGAAAUGCGCAGAUAUCAGGAGGAACACCGGUGGCGAAGGCGGGUCUCUGAGCCGAUACUGACGCUGAGACACGAAGGCCAGGGGAGCAAACGGG